GAUGAACGCUGGCGGUAUGCUUAACACAUGCAAGUCGAACGGACUCUUCGGAGUUAGUGGCGGACGGGUGAGUAACGCGUGAGAAUCUGGCUUUGGGUUCGGGACAACCACUGGAAACGGUGGCUAAUACCGGAUGUGCCGAGAGGUAAAAGAGAAAUUGCCUGAAGAUGAGCUCGCGUCUGAUUAGCUAGUUGGUGAGGUAAAGGCUCACCAAGGCAGCGAUCAGUAGCUGGUCUGAGAGGAUGACCAGCCACACUGGGACUGAGACGCGGCCCCGACGCCUACGGGAGGCAGCAGUGGGGAAGUAUCCGCAAUGGGCGAAAGCCUGACGGAGCAAUACCGCGUGAGGGAAGAAGGCUCUUGGGUUGUAAACCUCUUUUCUUAGGGAAGAACAAAAUGACGGUACCGAAGGAAUCAGCACCGGCUAACUCCGUG
rnacentral:rRNA from 1 species